GAUGAACGCUAGCGGGAGGCUUAACACAUGCAAGUCGAGGGGCAGCAUAGGGUAGCAAUACUCUGAUGGCGACCGGCAAACGGGUGAGUAACGCGUAUGCAACCUACCCUGUACAGGGGGAUAACCCGGAGAAAUUCGGACUAAUAUCCCGUAAUAAUAUCCGGAGGCAUCUUUGGAUAUUUAAAGUUCCGACGGUACGGGAUGGGCAUGCGUAACAUUAACUGGUUGGUAAGGUAACGGCUUACCAAGGCUAUGAUGUUUAGGGGUCCUGAGAGGGUCGGUCCCCACACUGGUACUGAGACACGGACCAGACUCCUACGGGAGGCAGCAGUGAGGAAUAUUGGUCAAUGGGCGCAAGCCUGAACCAGCCAUCCCGCGUGCAGGAAGACGGCCCUAUGGGUUGUAAAACUGCUUUUCCAGGGAGAGAAACUUAACGCACGUGUUGCGUGACUGACGGUACCCUGGGAAUAAGCAUCGGCUAAACUCCGUGCCAGCAGCCGCGGUAAAAAGUGUGUGUA
rnacentral:rRNA from 1 species